UAACCUGCCCACUGAUUCUAUAAGAUUUAAUGGCCGCGGUAUUAAUGACCGUGCAAAGGUAGCAUAAUCAUUAGUCUUUUAAUUAGAGGCUUGUAUGAAUGGUUGGACAAGGGGGGAACUGUCUUUUUAGUAAAGAUUGAAUUUAACUUUUAAGUGAAAAGGCUUAAAUAUUUCAAAGGGACGAUAAGACCCUAUAAAGCUUUAUAGAGAAUAAAAUUUAGAUUAAGGUGUUUUAUUAAAGAUUAAGGUUUGUAAUAUUAUUGAGUUGGGGUAACGAGAGUAUAAUUGUUAGGUAACUGCUUAGUUUUUAUACAAAUAUAUUUGUGUUCAGGGUUAUAUGAUCCUUGAUUUUAAGAUUUUAAGAGCAAGUUACUUUAGGGAUAACAGCGUUAUUUUUUUUGAGAGUUCGUAUCGAAAAAAGAGUUUGCGACCUCGAUGUUGAAUUAAAAUUUCUAUGUGGUGUAGUUGUUGCAUAAGAAGGUCUGUUCGACCUUUAAUUUUUUACAUGAUUUGAGUUCAGACCGGUGUGAGCC
rnacentral:rRNA from 1 species